UCAGGCCUAACACAUGCAAGUCGAGCGGGGACUUCGGUCCUAGCGGCGAACGGGUGAGGAAUGCUUGGGAAUCUGCCCAGUAGUGGGGGAUAACGUUUCGAAAGGAACGCUAAUACCGCAUACGUCCUACGGGAGAAAGGGGGGGAUCUUCGGACCUCUCGCUAUUGGAUGAGCCCAAGUCGGAUUAGCUAGUUGGUGAGGUAAAGGCUCACCAAGGCGACGAUCCGUAGCUGGUCUGAGAGGAUGAUCAGCCACACUGGAACUGAGACACGGUCCAGACUCCUACGGGAGGCAGCAGUGGGGAAUAUUGGACAAUGGGCGAAAGCCUGAUCCUAAAGAGCCGCGUGUGUGAAGAAGGCCUUCGGG
rnacentral:rRNA from 1 species